GUGCAUAUCAAUGAGCAAGAAACUUCUUAUUGAAAAGAGUACACAAGAAAAGCUGUCAAGCAGAGAGAAGAGUAUGCAAGAUCGAUUACGCCUCGGGCACUUUACAACAGUUAGACAUGGCGCUUCAUUUACUGAACAAUGGACAGAUGGUUUUGCAUUUCAGAAUCUUGUGAAGCAACAAGAAUGGGUGAAUCAGCAAAGGGAAGAUAUUGAAAGGCAAAGGAAACUUCUAGCCAAACGCAAACCUCCCACAGCUAAUAAUUCUCAGGCACCCUCUACCAAUUCUGAACCAAAACAAAGGAAAAACAAAGCAGUCAAUGGAGCAGAGAAUGAUCCCUUUGUUAGACCAAAUUUACCACAACUGUUGACUUUGGCAGAAUAUCAUGAACAGGAAGAAAUUUUCAAACUUAGACUAGGACAUCUCAAAAAGUCUCAUCACUCAGGCUGGAGUGCAGCGGCACAAUCUAAGCUCAGUGCAACCUCCACCUCCCUGGUUCAAGCAAUUUUCGUGCUUCAGCCUCCUGAGUAGCUGGGAUUACAGGCAUGCGCCACCACAUCUGGCUAAUUUUUGUAUUUUUAGUAGAGUGAGGGUUUCGCCAUGUUCACCAGGCUGGUCUCAAACUCCUGGCUUCGUGUGAUCCACCCACCUUGGCCUCCCAAGGUGCUGGGAUUACAGGCAUGAGCUGUCGCACCCGGCCAAAAUUACAUUUUUAUGUUGAGUAUAUUAAAACAACAUUCCUUUAUCUUGUGUCAACUUAAAAAUCUUGAGAUGGUGACACACCAUAUCCCUUUAGUGGAGGAAUGAUUCUUGGACAGACUUCCAAGGUCUUUAGAUUAUUCUAUUUAAGUACUACCUUUUGGUAAAAAAUACUUCAUUUUAAAGAUGAAAUCUAAAAUUCCAUAUUGUUUAUGUUCAUUUCAUAAUAAAAUAGCAAUUGUAAA
rnacentral:lncRNA from 1 species